CCUACGGGAGGCAGCAGUGGGGAAUAUUGCACAAUGGAGGAAACCCUGAUGCAGCGACGCCGCGUGAGUGAAGAAGUCAUUCUUUAUGUAAAGCUCUAUCAGCAGGGAAGAAAAUCACGGUACCUGAGUACGCCUCCCCGGCUAACUACGUGCCAGCAGCCGCGGUACUACGUAGGGAGCAAGCGUUAUCCGGAUUUACUGGGUGUAAAGGGAGCGUAGACGGCAGUACAAGUUUGGAGUGAAAGGCGGGGGCUCAACCCCGGGACUGCUCGGGAAACUGUAGGGCUGGAGAGCAGGAGAGGUAAGUGGAAUGCCUAGUGUAGCGGUGAAAUGCGUAGAUAUUAGGCGGAACACCAGUGGCGAAGGCGGCUUACUGGACUGUAACUGACGUUGAGGCUCGAAAGCGUGGGGAGCAAACAGGAUUAGAUACCCGGGUAGUC
rnacentral:rRNA from 1 species